rnacentral:rRNA from 1 species
CCUACGGGCGGCUGCAGUGAGGAAUAUUGGUCAAUGGCCGUAAGGCUGACGCAGCGACGUCGCGUGAAGGAAGAAGGAUCUCUGGUUUGUAAACUUCUUUUAUAGGGGAAUAAAGGUAUUCACGUGUGGAUCUUUGCAUGUACCCUAUGUAUAAGCAUCGGCUAACUCCGUGCCAGCAGCCGCGGUAAUACAGAGGAUGCGAGCGUUAUCCGGAUUUAUUGGGUUUAAAGGGUGCGUAGGUGGUUUUUUAAGUCAGCGGUGAAAGUUUGUGGCUCAACCAUAAAAUUGCCUUUGAAACUGGAAGACUUGAGUGUGUUUGAGGUAGGCGGAAUGCGUGGUGUAGCGGUGAAAUGCAUAGAUAUCACGCAGAACUCCGAUUGCGAAGGCAGCUUACUAAGCCAUAACUGACACUGAAGCACGAAAGCGUGGGUAUCAAACAGGAUUAGAUACCCCGGUAGUC